UAUAAAUAUAACUGUUGGCCAUAAUUCCUUAAAAGUCGUCUACUACUAUCCCAAUAAGAUGAAGUUUAUUUGGCUCUUAGCAUUAUGUGCUGCAAUAGGCAAAUCUAGUACAAACGCGGAGAAUUUGUCCGAGAAUGUCAAUGGGGAGAACGGCUGGUAUAUGCCUAACGAAGAUGGCACCCUUCAGUGGAUAGACGAGAAAAAAGCGGAGGCAAUGCUUCAACCCCUUACGGAACAGAAAAACCUAGCGGCAAUUGCAAAGCUCGUGAAAUACUAUUUAUUAUCCAAGUACCAAAAAACCCGAAGAAACUCAGUCCAUAGAACCUAUUGAAAACUCCACGUGGGCAAUCAGCUGACAAAUAUAUACGCUUAUAUUUCAAGUUAGUUCUGGAUGAUAACAUUUAAGGGCGGUGUCAGCACUUGAGGAGGGUACUUACUGCAGGUUAACAGUAACGCCCAGACUGCAAAUACCAGACUGCAAGAAAGAGCUCCCGAGCCUAAUAGAUCUGUAUUCAUAGCUGAGACACACUUAAAUAUGAACAGAUUUCAUACAUUUAUGCUAAUCAUCAUAUAGUAUUGAGUGUGUUUACUUUAGGAUCCCAGUGUAUCCCAGCAGAGGCAGGUGGAAUUAUUUUCCGGUAGAAAAGUCAAUCGAAAGGUUGAAGACAUUAAGCAUUUUGGACAAUGCCUAUCAGGUCACCCUUUGUAUUGUGAUAACGUCUUCGGUUUGUACUAUAACAGACCAUUGCUUGCCGAAACUCCUUAUCAGUCGAAAAAGUGGAUUUUCGGAUAACUUUGAAUUUUACAUGUAAUUUCUUAAUCUUCUUCACAACUAAUUUUGAUUUCCACACAGCUGCGGUCUGCUUUGACUCUGAACGUAAGAAUGGAUAGAAUGGCUGGUACAUACCUAGACCCGAUGACAGCUUUUUUUAGUUGGAUAGAAUUAUUACAGAGCAUUUGCUUGAAAAUUUAGAAAAGUUAAAGAGCCUUACACUGCAAAAAGCUCCGGUCGACUUCUACCUGUUCACAAAGUUAAACCCCACCAAGGGCACCAAGAUCACAGCCACCAGCAAGUCUAUUAAAAAAUCCAAUUUCGAUACCUAAAACCCUACAAGGUCAAUACAACAUGAACAAAUUGAGAGCUUCGUUUGGCUAAUCAAGUGAUUUCUCAUCCAUUAACUACUACAGAUUUAUUAUCCACUGCUGGCUCCAGAGCAGAUCAUCGGACAUGAACAAAAACAUUCGUGAUGCCUGGCUGAGCAAUUGUGACUACAACGUCAUCGUCGUAGACUGGGCUAGUGCACGAUCCCCGGUUAUGCUACCCCUGUUGUGGCUGUACAUAUCGUAGGCAAGAAGGCCAACAUGAUCAACUACAGCACCGUUCGCAUGAGCGCUGAUAGCAAUGCCGACAAGGUCGAGGGUGUCUUCUAUGUGCCGGUGAACAGCGAAUCUCCCCACGGCAAUGCCAACUAUGUAGUAAUGUGACGCAAUCAAUCAAAUAAUUAGACUAGGUAAUCUAGUUGGGUUUACGACGCUAAUCAUAUAACUGAACGAUACACCUUGAGGCUAUAAUCCAUACUAUAGUGUGGUAUAUACAUACAUAUAUACUUAUACGGUAACCGGUACUGCUAUCAACAUAGUAAUUCAAGCAAUUCCAUUAGAAGCAAACAAUAUAUGGACUUGUCGUUUCCCACGCAGUGCAUAAAUCAUACGACAUUGAUGUAGGCCUCCACCGAUAAAGAUUUAUGAUCAGUGAUAAUUAUUAAUUAUACUUGUGGUUCACUAAAUGACUUCUAAUUGUAUGCCCAUUGCUCCUCAUUUUUCGAGGUGACCAUAUGUGCCUCCUAAAAGUAUGCAACAUGUGUGUGUAUGUUAUUCUAAUAUUGGAUUUUGUGUACUAUUUUUGCAUGUCAUUUAAUUCAUCUACUCUGCCAAUUAGCACGAACAGGAUAAUCAGCCAUGGAAAAAUCAUUAGCAAUAAUACGAGUACAACUCAGAGAGGUAAACACAAAAAGUGAGCAGUAAAGAAGGGGGCAGUGGGUGGCUGGGGCGGAAGUCUCUAAACAAAUUGAGUCACAGUUAAUAGGCUUUUGUUGGGUCAACCGUUCAUUGUUUACAUUACUCGUUUACACUCAGCAAAUUUGCUUCAAGCCACAGACAUAGACCAUAGCUGGCCGAAACUUCUUAUCAGUCGAAAUACCUCACAAUAUAAAACCCUUUUAGCUCUUAGCUUUCUGUUCCACGUACAUGGAAUUCCGCCAACUCUUUAACAAAUGCUAUUAAUUCAUACACAGCUUCGGCUGGCAGCUUAUGUUGGAUAGAUAAACAUGCGGCAGAACGUUGGCUUCGACGAAUUGAAAACGUACUGUUCAAUGACCAAAGUUCCUAUCGAAUUCUACCUGUUCACCAAGUCCAACCCCACCAAGGGUACCAAGAUCACAGCUACGAGCAAUUCAAUCGCCUCAUCCAACUUCAGUGCCUAUGAUCCAACGAGGAUUUAUUAUUCACGGCUAGACCCAGAGUAGCUCAUCGGACUUGCAGAAGAACGAUCGGGACGCCUGGCUGAGCAAUGGUGACUACAACGGCAUCGUUGUGGACUGGGCUAAUGCAUGUUCCAUGGACUAUAUUUCCUCCGUUGUGGCUAUACCCGGCGUAAGCCAGAAGGUCGCCAACAUGGUCAACUACCUUGACUUCCAUCAUGACUUGAGUCUCGACUACCCCAAGAAAAACUUUGGAACCAUGAAGUGCGAUAGCUAUAUGGCAGCCGUCAAUAAGAAGUGUGGCAACACCUACAGCACUAUUCGAAUGGGUGAUGAAGGCAAUGCCGACAGGGUCAAGGGUGCCUUUUAUGUGCCGGUGAACAGCAAUGCUCCCCACGGCAAUAUCAACUAAAUAAGAAUAAUAAUGUGACGCAAUCAAAAAAGUUACCGAAAACAAUCGAAUUCCGCUUUGCUUAAGGAAGCAUUUUUUGUGUAAGUAACUAAUCUUUGGGUUCACGACGCUAAUCAUAUAACUCGAAAAUACACAUUGAGUUUCUAAUCCAUACUAAGCCGUACACUAUAUGGCAAGCGAUACGUCUAUCAAUUUAGUAAUUGCUCAUGGAUCUAGCACUUCCCUUGCAAAUUUAAUCGAGUUUCAAGUGCUUUUAAGCCAAUAUAGAAGGAUGGUGUAGUA
rnacentral:misc_RNA from 1 species